UUGAAAUACCGUUUCCCGUACGAUCACUGUAGUUAAGCAACGUUGAGUCUGAUCAGUACUUAAAUGGAUGACCGCUUGGAAAUAUCAGGCUCUGUA